CCUACGGGAGGCAGCAGUGGGGAAUAUUGGACAAUGGGGGCAACCCUGAUCCAGCCAUGCCGCGUGUGUGAAGAAGGCCCUCGGGUUGUAAAGCACUUUCAGUGAGGAAGAACGCCUGGUGGUUAAUACCCAUCAGGAAAGACAUCACUCACAGAAGAAGCACCGGCUAACUCCGUGCCAGCAGCCGCGGUAAUACGGAGGGUGCGAGCGUUAAUCGGAAUUACUGGGCGUAAAGCGCGCGUAGGUGGCUUGAUAAGCCGGUUGUGAAAGCCCCGGGCUCAACCUGGGAACGGCAUCCGGAGCUGGCAAGCUAGAGUGCAGGAGAGGAAGGUAGAAUUCCCGGUGUAGCGGUGAAAUGCGUAGAGAUCGGGAGGAAUACCAGUGGCGAAGGCGGCCUUCUGGACUGACACUGACACUGAGGUGCGAAAGCGUGGGUAGCAAACAGGAUUAGAUACCCUAGUAGUC
rnacentral:rRNA from 1 species